rnacentral:rRNA from 1 species
GACAGAGGGUGCAAACGUUGUUCGGAUUUACUGGGCGUAAAGCGCGUGUAGGCGGCUUGGCAAGUUGAAUGUGAAAGCCCACGGCUCAACCGUGGAAGCGCAUCCAAAAACUGCUUCGCUGGAGUCUCGGAGAGGAAGGUGGAAUGCUUGGUGUAGAGGUGAAAUUCGUAGAUAUCAAGCAGAACACCUGCGGCGAAGGCGGCCUUCUGGACGAUGACUGACGCUGAGACGCGAAAGCGUGGGGAGCAAACAGG